rnacentral:tRNA from 1 species
GGCCUCGUGGGAGAGUAGUCAUCCAGGAGUCUGCAAAACUUCGUACACCGGUGCGAAUCCGGUCGAGGCCU